UGAAGUUAUGGUAUAUCGUCGCCAUUUGGUUCGCACUAGAUCGCCUUGUACUCUGUCAAUCCUGGCUAAGAUACUGGACUGGGUUGCUAAAAAACUAAUGAAGACACGUUCCCCCCUUGCUACGAUAUCGACAGAAGCUUUUUUUGCUCCGAGAAACCAUCAUAAAUCUCAUAAAGACUCUAAUUUUAAGCUAGAGAGAGAUACCAAAAAAUUGACAACUUUAUUUUCAUCUUUGUUUAAGGAGACUAUGGAUGUAUAAAUUAAUGUUGAAAUUAGGAUAAGAGAUCAAUGGCUCGAACAAUAAGACAGGUUUGAAAACCUUAAAUAUUCAUUUUUAAUAAUAAACCAUUCUAAGAAUAAUCUAAUUUACUAUAAAACUUUUUUUAGGUUUCAUCACAGAUCUCUCAAUUUCCAUUAAUUGAACAACGACAGAAGCUUAAUUUAUCUUUAGAAACCAUAUUAUAAUAAUUUCUUCUAUGUUCUAUCACAAACUUCUCAAUUCUCAUCUUUAUCCAAGAUCCAUCAACAUGCUAAACAUGAAUUAGGAAACUAAGUAACCUGGACAAAGAAGAAGAGAUAAGUUGCUUCAUGUAAACAAAUGCAGCUUCCCGAAGCUUCGUAGAAACGUUACAUCCCCUGUUUGCUCACCUAUCAAUUUAUAAACAUUGUUUAGUUGAUGACAAACCGAGUCGAGUGAGGAAAGAUGUUUACCUGAAGGACUGGCUCUAGAAAUGACACAGCUACUUAACAUGGUUUCUGACAUUCGAAUCGGAGGACCACUUCUUCAUGGGGGUCUGUUUAAUUACGAGGCUACUUUAAACAAACGCGAGCUAGUUUCUAUAAACAUGUGCUACUUGGCUGAAGAAAGAUUCGCUUUAUCCUGGAAACUGCCUGAACAUAUACUCCUCCAUGCUCUACACUUGCAUACAUACAUAAAGCAAGCACCAUAAAUCUUCUCAAGCAACAAUGGUGUAACUCGAGGCAUCAAGUAUCGGCGCCUAGGUUCGCAGACGUUUUAAUCGAGGGUAGGCUGAGAUUGGUGUGUUUUCGCGGAUUGAAAUUAAUGCAUCAGGCGUGGAACGAUUGAAAAUCACGCGUGGAAGAGCACAACUCCAGCGUGGCGAGGUUGGGUGAUGGAUGACCAAGCUGGAUUGCCGAGACGUGUUUGUUGUGACGGACGAAAGCUCUUUUGAAGGUGUCUAUAAAUUCCGCGUUUCGAGCUUCCACGGGUUCCACGGUUUUCCUACCCGGUGCCGUGAUUUACCAUUCCCCGUCCAGCCACGCCUGCGUAAAAUUUAGUUGUGGGGGUGGCGACUAAGCCAAAUGAAUCUCUAGAUUCCUCCUUAAUCAGGAAAAUCUGCUUACGUUAAUUCCAAACUUUUACUGUUUCAUAUUUCUUCUUGUACGUUGUUUCGGUUAAUGUUUUACAUAUAAGUAAGGUAUAUAGUCUCUUUGUUAUUUUUAAUUUAAAUAUCAAUCUAAGUCUCUGUAACAGCAGUUCAUGUAAUUUUCUUCUAAGUUCGAAAGUUUCGUUUCCUCAAUUUAUUUUCUCUAAUAUGUUAUUCAUCCGUUUACAGUUUCUUUUUACAUAUAGCGACGAAUAAGAUCUGGCAUCGACAAAGAUGAGAAAUUUUUCAUCAAUGUUUGGAACAGAAUUUUCUCAUAAACUGUUACAAGUAUUACAAUAAAAAGUACAUGAAGAUCCGUUUUCAAUGAAACGUACGUAUUGCCUCUGUAAACUUAAUUUCUAGCUUUAUUAUCAAUUUCUUCCUCCAUUACGAUCUUUCACAACUAAUAACAAAAAUUCUCAUUUCAAAAUGGAAUUCUCAUCUCAUUCUCAUCUUGCAAGAACAUAACCUCAAAGAGUAAGCGCUAUUACAUUAAAAUACUUGCAUGUCGUCAUUAAUAGGUGUUAACCCAAGGUAGCAAUCUAUAGAGAGACUUUCGAACGUUUGAGGAAGUCUCAGAGCAAGCGUCUGGGUUUGUCGUCAACGUCGGAACACGUUUAUCGAAAGUGAAGACAUUAGCGCGGCUUCAUCGUCUCUCCCGUUCACUUCUGGGAAGCGAAACGACCAAGCAGAAAAUCCCGGAUCCUGGCUCGUGGCCAACUGAAAAUCAGAUCGCCAAUAAAGAGGCCGAUAAAUAACGCGGCCAAACACCAAAAUAAUACUCGUUGCUGAUCAAAGUCGAAUAACUCGCGGCGUUUUCCUGACCCCUCUAGCCUUCCCUUGCGGCUGAAAACCUCGAGGGUUUUGGCCACCGAUCGACCUGAUUUUUUGACAGUUCUAUGCUUGUACAUACAGUGCCCCGUGAAAGUAUGAAUUAUUACAAAGACUCGACUUAUCAUAGAAAAUAUUUAUGUACACACCAAUUAUGUGUGUUAUAUAAAACAUCUUAAAGUAUCAUUAUCGCUAUAAAGAGACACGACUGUCGAUUGUAUUGGCAAAAUGAAACCAAUCUGAAGAUUUAUAUAGAAAUCACGAGAUAUUUAUUGUGAACAUAUAUUUGGUACGGAAGUAGUUCGCAUUAAUAGUCAGCAUAAAUAGCCACCAUCAUAAACAUUUAAUAGGCGUCAAAUGUGGCUCCAUUGAAUAUUCAGGCUUAGUGAUAUUAGGUUGUUCAAAAGUUUAAAAAAUUAAAGAAGAUAAAUCUAGAGCUUGAAUUUUAACCAUCUAAAAUAAAAUAAAAGGAUUAAAAUAUAUUUUAAAUAUUUGGGGACAGGAGAACAAAUUAAUGUGAAUUUGAGUCACCUAACAUUGUAAGACAUUAGGGUAUCUUUAUUAUUUCUGUUUGUUUCUUCUCCUUAAAAGCUAUUUUAUUAUUUAGAAAUGAGAAUAAACGUUUCGCAACGUAGUAAAAGAUACUUCAAAAAUUUGUAGGAGACGAAAUUAAAUGAGCAUCGUUAUUCAGGGUCUCCUGGAGGAGGGCCCAUCUACGCAACACACAAGGGGUUGUACACGUGCGUGAGUUCCUGCCGCACGCACCGUUUCACGAUAUUAACGCGGGCUUAAUUGCGCGUACUGGGGCGCAUUUAAUCGGUGCACAUGCGAAUGUGUGCCUCGUCGUGCACCGCUGCAGGUUAAGAGUCUUCAGAGGCUCCUUUUUCUGCCAACGACUACGUUUUAUGGCUUCCUUCCUUGCGCACGCUUUCGUCGAAACAAGUAAAACAAAUUGAUGUAUAUUCUUCUUUGUUUUCUUUAUCUUUUUCUAUCUCUUCAAAAAAGGUGAUUCUAUUUUUCUGUAUAUAUAUGUAAAAAAUUGUUUAAAAAUACCAAGUUUCAUUCAAAAAGUAGAUUACGUUUCAUCUUCAAGAAUUAUUUAAAAAUUCCUGGUUUCAAGAUUAGGCUGAAGUAAGCAAAGACGAAUUAACGAUAUUAACAAAUUCCUAAAAAAUGUUAAAAUCAUAAAUAUCAAAGUUGUAAAUAUCAAAAGUUUUAUAUUAUUCCAAUUACAUAUUUACUGUGACAGGUCCUUGAUAUUCUUUUAAUUAUGUUAAUAUUUUAGGUGAUAUGACUGUUAUAAAACACAGUGGGUAUUCAAAAAGUUGAGCAAUACUGGCAAAGGUGAUCAAAGGUAAGGUGACUAUUCGCAUAAUCUCUGAGAGAGAGAACUUCUUUCAGAUAAACAGUUACGUGCACGUAUUUCUACCUGUUACUGGAUGGUGCCUGAUUAUAGACAAGGGUCGUUCAAUGUAGUUCCUUGGAGACAGCACAACGUCGCUGUAAAUCCGAUUUGAUGGAAAUUUACGAGUCACUUUGUUUACACUUGCUGCAUUUUGCAGUGAUUAAGGUGUUCCGGCGUACCAGGUUGAAUUCAGCCACCAGCAAAACAAUUAGCACCUGGUGAGUGGCGAACAUCUUCUGGGACCAUGGUAGUCAUAAAACGGCGCCGGCACGUCUACGACCGUCCAGCCGUUAUGGCGGGGAAUCCCAAGAAGCUUAUUCCGAAGUGAUAGCGUUUGAAAAAGUGAAUUAUGAAUCGAUCGAAGGCGAAUGCGGUGAAUUUUUAUUGAAAAUUUGCGAAGGAAAAUAUUUCUAAAUGUGCUUAUUGCUGCAGGUUAUUGAUCAAAGAUUAAUUUACAUUUUGCAAAUCUUCCUUAUUUUAAAAAAAGUUGCUCUCAAGUUGCAUAACAUAUAGCUUUCUAGCCUACGGACGUUUAUGCUAGCCUGUGAAGAAUGGGCGGCGUACAUUGUGGCAAUAGGCGUGGAAUAAUGGUCCAUGUGUCGUUAGUCGAGUCGACCGUGCCGUUUCUGAAUUGCAUUUACGAGCAGAACGGAAACCCGGAACAUGUGUUCGCGACCUGCCGAAAACUCGCUAGUGCAGGCACGUGUUUCUUUACAGGCAAAAAGGUUGUGUACGUGCCCGAAGACUAUGCAACUUUUCUACCUCGGGCUUAUUGCUGCUGCUGGGGAUGACGGUGCCGCAUGUUCGACACAUGGCGAAGGCGAUGGCACCGGUGCAAACAUUGUAGAAACUAUCUGUCGGCGUGGAUCGUAAAGGCAGCGUUUAUAAUGCGCACGGCCUAGCCCAGGGACACUUUGUGCACAUGGGCAAUAACGUUAGCUGAGAAGCCAUAGGAGAUAUUGUCGUAGUAGAUGUUUCAAGUUUACGGACCGAAAACCGACGAGCAGUCAUUCAGUUCGUGAAUCAAGAUCUUCGUCUUCCAGCAUGUCCAUCGUUCAUUGUGAUUAACCUCAUCGUGGAUGCAUUUAGCCACGUUGUAGGGAUUUUACUAUGUGUAGUUGAACGAUUGCUGAUGUUCAAAAUGAUGUUCAGCUUGUUCUUCAGUUAUUUUCAGACAUUUCUAUUAUUACUGAAUCGUAGGUUUUGUUCAAGUCCGAUCUUCUUAGGUAAUAUCAGUUUUAACGUAUCUCUUCACUACCAAAUUUGAUUAGUUUAGUCCUGUAUUAAUAGUAUGCUGUUUAUUAAAAGUAAUGGUUAUUGGAAAUAGUGGCUGUGUUAACAAUAGAAUUAGUAUUAGAAAUAACACGGUUCAUUCUAGAUCGAACUAGUCAAAUUUGAUACUGAAGAGAUUUGUUAAACUUGGUACAUAUUAACUAUACCGGUCCAUUACAUCGUUUCAAUUAUUUAACUUGUCUGUUAAUCUUGUUAAUUUCUCUAGAUCGCUUGUAGAAUUGCGAAUUUAAAACAAUUUGUAAAACUGACGCCGUUGAUGUUGUUUGAUGAUAAUCGUAGACGAAGCAGCAGGUAUAUUGAAAAGAUUUGGUAGACUGUAAAUAUUAAAGUAAGUCACAGUAAGAGACUUGUAAUCCGUAUUGCGGAUUAGGAACCUAGAAAAAUAUUUGCCUUUAAAACAAUAGGCAGAUUAUUAGCUACUGGUUUUCUGAUGUUCGCGCAUACCGUUAUCUAUAUAUCUUGCCACGUGCUUCACUUGGCUUGGCUGACACUUUGGCACAAACUGAAAUGUUCUUUAUCUUUUUCGCAAGGAAACAGUUUAUAUAAUUGGAUAUAGUUAUGAACAUUUACAGAUAUAAUUAUGAACAUUUUGUAGAUUAUAUCAAUCAGUUUGAAUUUAUUCACUGACAGAGUACAAAUAAUUUUAUGUUGUUUUGAAAGAUCGUCAAACAAAAAAGAUAAAUAUUGAUAUCAGUUUUAUAACAGUUUCAGAAUAACUUGUUGCCAAUAAUGACGUAUAAUCUAUAGAAGCACAGCAUGAAAGGUAAAACGGGAAGAGUGGCGCGGUUAAGUACUUUUAUUAGCAAGUCAAGAGGAUCUACAUUGUGAGAAGCACUUGUCGCCAUUCAAGAACCAUAAAGACCAUCUGACUCUGGUCUCGUGCCUCCUUUGAAUCCUGUUUCCUUCCUAUUCAACAAGACCACUUGCUUUCUUCCUUUCUGAUGAAAAUUCGAAGCAUCCUCUGGAUAAAAAAUAUCCUUCUCUUCUGAUAUUCUUAUUCAUAAAGAUUAUUUCACGGUGAAAUAUACAGAUGAAAAUUGUCUACUUUACAUUAUUCCUAAGCUUUUUAUACUUCUCUAUAAGACAAAAUUAAGUUAGAUAUCAGCCAGAGUCUCAGACUCAUGGUCUCAGAAUAAACAUUUUUAUUGUAAUUUAAUUUAUUAUUUUUUAGUAUGUUUUCCUAGAAUUAUGGGUUCUGCGAAGGGGUAGCUUUUUUUCACGAGGGACUGGCUCUCUCUCUCUCUUUCUU
rnacentral:lncRNA from 1 species